UAAAGCUUAAAUUCAGUGAACAAAUAAUCCACCAGAUGGAGGCACGCUCAUCAGUUAUUCAACAUGUUAAGUCGAUUUAACGAUGCACAAGAUGGCGAAUAAAGCCAUUAAAGUUAAUUGUUUUGUGAAAAAGUAAAUGAUUUAAGGAAAAGAAACAGCAAGCAAACAAACAAUCACAAUCUCGAUGGACGUUAAUCACGAUGCAAAUCGUUAAUGGCUGAAUAAUGAAAAAUUGUCAAGUUAAAAACUGUAAGUAGUCAAGUUUAUAACUCAAAAUGUUUACCCAAACAAAUCUGAUAAAUUAUCAAAAUGGACUUUUGAAUAUUGAAAAGCAAUUGGCUAUCAAGCAAGAUGUAGAUUAAUUAAGAUGUUUAACGCUCAAUGAAUGGACAAACUCUGGCUUUACCAAGAUUGUUACAGCUGCUUCUUAGAUAUAUCUUAUGACCAUUGAUCAUUGAGCAUAAACUUGUUCAAGGAAUCAAUUGAUAAUCUAACCUUAUCGUUUUCAACAAGCUAUCAACAAGCUAAGUGAUUAAAGUUUUAAAAUAAUCUGGUAACGUAGAAAGGAAUCGGAAAAGCAGGAAUCACUUAUAAAAAACAAGUUGCAGAAAAAGUGAAAAAUGAAAACGAUAAAGUUGGAGUUGCUAAUAGUAAAGAUGAUUAUGAUGAUGCCAAUGAUUAUCAUGAUUAUGACCAUUAAGAAGGAGUUAUAAAUGAUCGACAUUUUGGCCUGAAUAAAUCGAAGUGUUAAAGUUGGCUAUAAGUUACUGUUCGUAAUAUAAUGGAGCAUUAGAUGAGAGCAACAGUGCAAAAGAUGUCUUCAAAUGAUUAUCUCUGUUGUUGUUUUUUUCAUUUUUUGCCUUUCUUUUUCAUCAUCAUCUUGAUUCAUCUUCCUUUCCGGUAUAACUGAACAGAUGAAAUGUGAUGAUCAAGACGAGAAAGAUGAGAAAGGCCGAGGAAAAAAAAGAUAGUUGAAGCUCAUUUAACGUAAAAAUUAUGAGACAUAAACUCAGUUGUUCAAAGUGAUACACAUACAUAAGGAUUAUCGAGACUCAGGAUUUACCACAGUUUCCUUCAUCUUUUUUCAUCUUUUCCACUUUUCUUCAUUAUUAUCAUCAUCAACCUGAUCAUCAUCACCAUCACCAUCAGUAACAUCAUGAUGAUCAUCAUAAUCGUCAUAAUAAUCAUCAUCAUCAACAGACAAACAUAAAGCUAAAGCAACACACACACACAUUCAACCCAUCAAACCAUUGGGAUCAUCAUCAUUUUUCUUUUCAUCCUCAUCAUCUUUUUUCACUGUUUAUGAGCGUAAUCGAACUCGAAAUAGACAGUAGAAAAGAAAGUGAACGGGAAAAGCUAAAUGAUGAUGGUUAUUAUGAUGAUGAUGAAGAAGAAAGUAAAAGAUGACUUCACGAAUACGAAUCGCUCAAUUAUGAUCAAUUUUCAUCAUUGCCGUCACUUGAUGAGAUUGAGUAAAGGCAAACAACAACAAGAAUUACAGCCAUUUAUCUUCUCUUUCUCAUUCUCAUCCUCAUCAUCAUCAUUCUGGGACUUGAUAUGCUUGUGAUGUUACCUUCUUAAUAGAUAUUUAUUUAUAUAAUAAUAAUGAUAAUGAUAAUAAUAUAUAAACAUGUAAACCUUCAUUGGUUUUUAUCCAACUUUUGUUCACUUUUUUCCUUCUUCUUUCUUCUCCUUUCUUCCAACAGUUCAGAGCCUGUGAAGAUGAAUCUGUGGCUUUCAUCAUAAUAUUAACUAUCAUCAUAAUAGUGCUCAUCAUCAUCAUCGUCAACAUCAAUAACAACAUCAACGGAUGCUCAGUUUAUACUAACUGUGUUUUAUUUUGAUUGUCAUUGUCGAUCAAAUAAAUUUUAGUUGAUGGAGAGUCAAAAGGGAUGAGAGAAAUGAAAUAAAAGUUUUCAUUCUCUUCCAUCAUCACUGUUGAUGAUGAUGAGAGUUAUCAUUCUGAUCCUGUGUUACCAUCAACUGAUGAAGUAACAUGUCAUUUUGGGCAUUCUCUUUCUUCCAUCUCUUCCAAAUCAUCCUUUGCCUUCACUCACUCACUCACAUCUUUUCAUUUGGUUGUCAGGUCAACCUAUUGAUUGAAUGAAUAGUUCACCAGGAAAUUGUCUUUGACUCACUCAGUCACUACUUUUAUCUCACUCAUUUAUUCUGAACCCAGAAUCAUCAUCAUCAUCAUCACAGGGAAACUUUUUUUUUGCGCUCAAAACAUUUUCUCAGUAAACAUAAAGAUAAAGAAAGAUAAAUGGGGCUAUAAGAAAUAAGGAGAGAUGAAGAUGAUGAGGAUGAUGAUCAAGAAGGCAACUGAAUCAUGAUGAUGAAGGAGGAGGAGGAGGAGGCAAAUUGAUGCCUUGAGGAUUGUCUUGUUUCCCUUUUAUUGUGUCAUUUUACGCAGAAUCAACUUGCAGCAUUUCAUUUUGUCAAUCAUAAUCUCAAGCUUCACACAAUUUUUUCAUCGCCAUAUUUUGCCAACUUCAACUUUCCCCUAUUGAUUUACAUUCAAUUUUCAUUAGAAUCAUCUUUGCAGCAAUUUUCCCUGCUUGAAGGUGCAAUCAGAAUGGGUUAAUCAACAUUUUAAUUUUUAGUAAAAUAUUUACAUUCUCAUGAAAAGAUAACUUGAAGGAAUGUUUAUCGAUCAGCCAAAAGAGACGAAAAGAUGAGGAAGAAGAAGAAGACAUUUCACUGAGUGACAGUUGAACAUUGAGUGUUACUGAGAAUGAUGAGAAUGACGAGAAUGAUGGUGAAGAUUAAGAAAGCUAAAAUGGCCUUUCCCUGUCUUCAUUUGCCAUCUGAGUGAUGCUUCAAUCGUCAGUGUCAAAAUGCUACUUUAAAAGGCAACAUGGAAAAGUUAACAUGAAAAUGAUGGAAAUGGUGAGAUGAAGAUAAAUCUGGUAAAGAUGAAUAUUGAAAUAAACAUUUGAUAAGCUUACAACCUGUUUAUCCCUGCAAGAUCAAAUGGUUAUCUUGAUCAACAAUCCCUGUUAUCAGUCCAACUUUUAACUCCCAACCAACUUCACUUUAACAUUCAACUUUCAUUUUAAACAAACAAUUUUGGUUAAAAAUUUCUUCUCUAAUUAACUCACCUUAAUGUUAUAUCUUUUCACCGUUGGUCAAACAAACAAAGGUCAAAAUGUGUUGCUUUCAAGUGUUCAAAAAGAGAUAUUUUUUUGCUUCUCA